rnacentral:rRNA from 1 species
GAUGAACGCUGGCGGCGUGCCUAAUACAUGCAAGUCGAGCGAACAGACGAGGAGCUUGCUCCUCUGACGUUAGCGGCGGACGGGUGAGUAACACGUGGAUAACCUACCUAUAAGACUGGGAUAACUUCGGGAAACCGGAGCUAAUACCGGAUAACAUGUUGAACCGCAUGGUUCAACAGUGAAAGACGGUCUUGCUGUCACUUAUAGAUGGAUCCGCGCCGCAUUAGCUAGUUGGUAAGGUAACGGCUUACCAAGGCAACGAUGCGUAGCCGACCUGAGAGUGUGGUGAGCAACCAGUGGACGUACACACGGACGAGACGCCAACAGGAGGGAGCAGGGGGGAAUAUUGGAAAAUGGGCGACAGCUUGAAGAAUCAAGACCGGAGGAGUGAAAAAGGUCGUCAAAUCAUAAGACUGUGUUAAGGGGGAAGAACAAGAACGAAAGGAACAAAGACCGGAUGGAAGGUACCGAAUUAGAAAACAACGACUAAAGUCAAG